AUUGAACGCUGGCGGCAGGCCUAACACAUGCAAGUCGAGCGGAUGAAGGGAGCUUGCUCCUGGAUUCAGCGGCGGACGGGUGAGUAAUGCCUAGGAAUCUGCCUGGUAGUGGGGGAUAACGUCCGGAAACGGGCGCUAAUACCGCAUACGUCCUGAGGGUGAAAGUGGGGGAUCUUCGGACCUCACGCUAUCAGAUGAGCCUAGGUCGGAUUAGCUAGUUGGUGGGGUAAAGGCCUACCAAGGCGACGAUCCGUAACUGGUCUGAGAGGAUGAUCAGUCACACGGGAACUGAGACACGGUCCAGACUCCUACGGGAGGCAGCAGUGGGGAAUAUUAGACAAUGGGCGAAAGCCUGAUCCAGCCAUGCCGCGUGUGUGAAGAAGGUCUUCGGAUUGUAAAGCACUUUAAGUUGGGAGGAAGGGCAGUAAGUUAAUACCUUGCGGUUUUGACGUUACCAACAGAAUAAGCACCGGCUAACUUCGUG
rnacentral:rRNA from 1 species